rnacentral:rRNA from 1 species
CAGCCGCCGCGGUAAUACCCGCAGCCCGAGUGGUGGUCGACUUUAUUGAGUCUAAAACGUUCGUAGCCGGUUCGCUAAAUCCUUGGGUAAAUCGGAAAGCUUAACUUUCCGAAUUCCGAGGAGACUGGCGAACUUGGGACCGGGAGAGGCAAGAGGUACUUGGGGGGUAGGGGUAAAAUCCUGUAAUCCUCCAAGGACCACCGGUGGCGAAGGCGUCUUGCUAGAACGGAUCCGACGGUGAGGGACGAAGCCCUGGGUCGCAAACGGGAUUAGAUACCCCGGUAGUCCAGGGUGUAAACGCUGCAGACUUGGUGUUGGGGACCCUUCGGGGGUGUUCAGUGCCGGAGAGAAGUUGUUAAGUCUGCUACUUGGGGAGUACGUCCGCAAGGAUGAAACUUAAAGGAAUUGGCGGGGGAGCACCGCAACGGGAGGAACGUGCGGUUUAAUUGGAUUCAACACCGGAAAACUCACCAGCAAAGACUGUUACAUGAAACUCAGGCCGAUGACCUUAGUAGAUUUUCAGAGAGGUGGUGCAUGGCC